GAAAGAAUGAAGAAAGAAAAAAGGGGGGAUGCCUGGGGCCAGCCAGAAGACACAGAGUAGAACAUAUAGAAAGAAAGGUAAAAUACCCUGCGGCAAAAGCUAAGAGAGGAUAUUGCUGGUUAAGCAGAAGAGCCUCAGGAGCAAAAAAAGAAAUUGAAAUUUGGCUGGACAUGAUCCCACCUUUAUAGACACCUACUGUAUUCACCAUGGCAGAC
rnacentral:lncRNA from 1 species